UUUAUAUUUAACUGUUACCAAGUGCUUGAAUUGAGGGAAGACAGAAUACCUCGACUAAUUUUUCAGAAAUGUAAGUGGAACACAUGAGACACAGUGGAGGAUACAAAGUAUGUCUGGAAAGAGUUGUAUAUAAGGGACUAAACCUAUAAAAGUAUUCAGUAAAAUUUCUGACUUCUACAAUUAUUUUUUAUUGAAUAAAACAGGCAGUAAAUGUAAGUUAUAAGUUUUC